AGAUCCCUGGAAGCCAGGAAUUGCAGCCAUGAUCAGCAUGCUGCCGAGAGCGCAAACCUUGGCACGGCUCAAAACCAAAUAGUCUGAAUCCGCUAUUUAUCUUAUGGCAGGGCUUGGGAAAGGAGGCAAGAAGAGUUCAUCAGAGCUAAGAUGUAGACAGAUUACAUGGGAGAGUGUGAGCUGAAAGAGCAGUUGUCAGAGAGCUCAGAAGUAUUAAGACUGUCUCAGGAAGCUCUGCUUGGUCCACAGGGCUUGGAGGAGGUGCUCAAGGUAGACAGUUGGGUGAAUGCUGAGAAUGGGCUGGUUUCUGUGGAACUGGAAGCAGCUAUGGACUAUCUACCACGAAGGAGUCUCUUGAGGCUGUCCUCUUUAAUAUUCAGAUGCAAAUACAUUCAUUCAGCUGGUAUUGUGCAAAACAGAAGAUAGUGAAUAUGCAGAGUACAACCACGUUGUAGUGACUUGACUUUGAAUUGCACAAGUAGCAACGAGUGGCUGAAAAGCUGCAAAGGAGAUACUGAGUGUCUGCAUCUUUGUCCCACGGCAGUGAUGGGGCCUUCAUUUGCAGUGGGGGGCCAUGCUGGCCUUCUGAACCUGCUCUGCCCGCUCAGAUACUGAAGAUGGAAACACAAACCAGUGUGACUGGUGGGUGAGGUAAGCUGUGCUUCUCACAAACAGCUGGAUUAUAUAAAAUAGAUUCCUGCCUUUACUUGGUCCUUGCCUGAUUGAUUACCUGAUCUAAGUGAGCAACCAUUAGAUGGUUUUCA